GGGGCGUAAAAGCGUGCGCAGGCGGUUUUUUUAAAGACAGGGUGUGAAAUCCCCGGGCUUAACCUGGGAAUGGCAUUUGUGACUGGAAGGCUAGAGUGUGUCAGAGGGGGGUAGAAUUCCACGUGUAGCAGUGAAAUGCGUAGAGAUGUGGAGGAAUACCGAUGGCGAAGGCAGCCCCCUGGGAUAACACUGACGCUCAUGCACGAAAGCGUGGGGAGCAAACAGGAUUAGAUACCCUGGUAGUCCACGCCCUAAACGAUGUCUACUAGUUGUCGGGUCUUAAUUGACUUGGUAACGCAGCUAACGCGUGAAGUAGACCGCCUGGGGAGUACGGUCGCAAGAUUAAAACUCAAAGGAAUUGACGGGGACCCGCACAAGCGGUGGAUGAUGUGGAUUAAUUCGAUGCAACGCGAAAAACCUUACCUACCCUUGACAUGGCUGGAAUCCUUGAGAGAUCAGGGAGUGCUUGAAAGAGAACCAGUACACAGGUGCUGCAUGGCUGUCGUCAGCUCGUG
rnacentral:rRNA from 1 species